rnacentral:ncRNA from 1 species
CAAAGGCCUGGUCCCGACUUUAACAUCAACUGAAGCUUGAAUUACACAUGCAAGUAUCCGCGCCCCCGUGAGAACACCCUCCUUUUCCUGCUCGGAGAGGAAAAUUGGCAUCAGGCACACCUAAGGUAGCCCAAAACGCCCAGCUAAGCCACGCCCCCAAGGGAAUUCAGCAGUGAUAAAUAUUAAAAAAUAAGUGAAAACUUGAAUUAGUUAAAGCUAAGUAAGAGCCGGUCAAACUCGUGCCAGCCACCGCGGUUAUACGAGAGGCUCAAGCUGAUGGUAACGGCGUAAAGAGUGAUUAAAGAACAUUAUACUAAAGCUGAAAUAACCCCAGGUAGUAAAAUACUUUGCGGAGAGAGAAGACCUAAAACGAAAGUAGCUUUAAUACACUUGAAUUCACGACCCUUGAGAAACAAACCGGGAUUAGAUACCCCGCUAUGCUCAACAGUAAACAAAGAUGGUAAUAUACAGCUAUCAUCCGCCAGGAGAUUACGAGCUAUCAUAGAUUAUGCUUAAAACCCAAGGGACUUGACGGUGCCUUAGACCUACCUAGAGGAGCCUGUCCCACAACCGAUAACCCCCGUUAAACCUAACCACCUCUUGCCACAUCAGUCUAUAUACCGCCGUCGCCAGCUUACCUUGUGAAAGAAAAAUAGUAAGCUAAAUGGAAUAUUUAACCAAAAAAGUCAGGUCGAGGUGUAACACAUGAGAUGGUGAAAGAUGGGCUACAUUUUCUGAAACAGAAUAAUACGAAAGAUGUAAUGAAAAAUAUAACCUAAGGUGGAUUUAGCAGUAAUAAGAUGAAUAAGAGUGCUCUAAUGAAGAUAGCUCUAAGGCGCGUACACACCGCCCGUCACUCCCCUCUAGGCGCAUCUAUAACUAUAAAUAAUAACAAGUAUAGCCUAGCAGAGGGGACAAGUCGUAACAUGGUAAGUGUACCGGAAGGUGCACUUGGAAAAAAU